GUAUUUGUGGCUGAGUGGUUAAGGCGAUGGACUAAAAAUCCACUGGUAUCUCCCUGCGCAGGUUCAAAUCCUGCCAACUACG